rnacentral:lncRNA from 10 species
CUAACACAAGAACAGAAAACCAAACACCACAUGUUCUCACUGGCAAUGUAGCCUUUAUUGUUUGCAACCUGAAGUAGACCAUUCUUGCUCAUGCACUAGAUAGAGGGAUAGUGCCAACCCACAUAGACUUAGAAGAGAGCAAGCUGGAGGGCCAGUCUUAACGUCCUUCACCUCCUCCGUUCCUGAGUGUGUCUCCCACUGGCUGUACUCAGUAGAAGCCAGAAAGCCAGGGGGCCCACUGAUGUCAUCAAUUCAGGGAUUUCAAGACACAUUUGAUAUCUUACAGAGCUGAUAGCUGCCGUGCAUAGGGGAAAUAAAUGAGAGGAAUAUGUCUGCAUAGUGGGGGUGCAGCUAGCCUUGGGUAGUGAUUCAUUUAAUAUUCUUUUGGCUGCAAGUAACAGAAUAUCCAAAUAAAAUUGGUGCUAUGAAAAAAAAAAGUGGUGCUAUGAACUGAAUGUUUAUGUGUCCCCUGAAUCCAUAUGCUGAAACCCUAAUCCCCAAUGGGCUGGUAUUCAGAGAUGGGGCCUCUGGGAGGUAAUUGUCAUGACAGUAGAGAAUGAUGGGAUUGGUGCCUUUACAAGAAAAGACAAAGAAGAGCUUGCUUCCUCUCUGAUCUCCACCAGGUGAGGACACAAUAGGAUGACCAUCAGCAAACCAGGAAUAAUGCCCUCAACAGACAUCUGAUCUGCUGACACCUUGAUCUUGGACUUCUAAUUCUGCAGAACUGUGAGAAAUAAAUAACUGUUUUUAAAAACCAUC